rnacentral:sRNA from 2 species
CCGCGCCGGACGCCGAAUCCUGUCACCCGGCCGUGGAAACGAUGCACUUCCGUGUGACAGGAGCGGGGGACCCACUCUUCCGCCGGGGCGCGGCCCGACCGCGUACCGGCUCGGGGUGAAGUCACCGCCGCGUCCGGGCCGUCGUGCCCGGGGGCGACGGUGGCCGGGCAUCUCCGGCCCGAACCCGACAGCUCACCUCGCAGGCGAUGGAGAGGAGCACA